UCACGCCCACAGUAAACUGCUCUUCUUCUUUACCAAUUGUACAUAUGAAAAGCAAAAUUUCUCAAAUCAAAACCAGAGAAUUCUUCAGUAACCACCCAUUGCAUCCUCGAAUCGUAUUUUAAACUCUAGUCCCUCUCAUUUCAAUCCCAAAAAUCAUCUAUUCCAACAGCAAUAUCGUCAUUGUGAUCUCAGUAGACCUUAGCCUAAUGGACAACGUUCAAAUCACAAAUCCAAGUUCGAAAUAAAGCAUUUCUACAACAUAGGAUUAAUCCAUUGUUUGAUACUGGAAAUGGAAGAUGACAUCACCAAUUUCAUCUGAAGACAACAUGGUGGAAAGAGGAAUAUGGAUGCCGUAGUUUUGGACUCGAGUUCGUGGAAGAAAAACUGGUCCAUCACAAUCAAGCAAAGGUUUGAGGAUUUUUGAUGCUCGAUUUGGGGAAUUUGGGCCUCUUAAGGAGAUUUGUCUCCUACGCAAUAUUACAUUGUAUAAAGCACGAGUCAGGGGAUGUUACGCUAACUAGAUAACAUGUAUUGUGUGAUACCUCGCUUGACAUAGUUGUUGCGUGCAUAAGAUGACAAUGGAGGGGGCUUAAAAGGCAAAUGAUACAAUCAAAGUAAGAGUACAAUUAAGAAACUAGAUGUGCAAGGUGCAAGGUGCAAGGAGUACAAAUAUAAUAGAAAUACAUGUAAGCACUCACUACCACUGAAUCAAAUACGAAAGAGGAAAAGAAGUUUGUAAAGUAUCAAACAUGUUGAUGAGACGUUACAGAUGCUGGACUAGAGAUGGUUGAAUUUCUAUUUUAGUUUCUAAGGAGCAAAUUUCAUACCGCCUAGUGUAUUCCAUAAUGAAUACUUAUUGUUAAUGGUUUU